rnacentral:rRNA from 1 species
UACGUAGGGUCCGAGCGUUGUCCGGAGUUACUGGGCGUAAAGCGCGCGCAGGCGGCGGUGUUGGCCCGGCGUGAAAGCCCCCGGCUCAACCGGGGAGAGUCGUCGGGGACCGCACCGCUUGAGGGCGGUAGGGGCUGGUGGAAUGCCUGGUGUAGUGGUGAAAUGCGUAGAGAUCAGGCAGAACACCUGGGGCGAAGGCGGCCAGCUGGGCCGUCCCUGACGCUGAGGCGCGAAAGCGUGGGUAGCAAACAGG